ACAACUCUCAAUAAACAACAAUCAUAAUCUUCCAUCCAUAAUCAAUCUUCUAAUAACUUCUUAUAUAAUUCAAUCAGAUAAUACUCCAAUUACAUAAUCAAUAACUCAUAAAUCAAUCUCUGAUUUAUUCCACAGAUUCACUUUUCAGUAUUCAAAAACUAUCCAUUACUCUUUAACAACAAAGAAAACAAAAAAAAGCAAAGAGGUAGCACCAAGCUUAACCUUGAC
rnacentral:lncRNA from 1 species